GGCGCGAUGGCGCCUUAUCUUCAUGGGAAAAGACAUUUCCAGCGAUACACGCCUGCUUCUGAAUGGACAGCUCCACAAUGUUCUUUGGUCCCCUAGGAGACAUCUUCGGAUCGCUUCGAGUCAGCGACGGACGUCUGGAAAGCUGUCUAAUGGAAGAAAUAGGUUGCUGCUCAGAGAAUAACAACGGAUUGAAUGGACGAAGGGAGGUAGUGAGCGAGGAUGGUCUAGUUUCGCUCGUGCUGAGGGAAGAAGCAGCUGCAAGAUGAAGCUAGAAUUGAGAGCGUACCUUGUAUGCAGAACACAGCUUUAACUGUAAAGAUUAGCUUAAUGUGUUAGCCUAACAUGAACUUGUUUACGUUUCCUUUG